rnacentral:rRNA from 1 species
UCUCCUCCUAAAGAGUAACGGAGGAGCACGAAGGUUGGCUAAUCCUGGUCGGACAUCAGGAGGUUAGUGCAAUGGCAUAAGCCAGCUUGACUGCGAGCGUGACGGCGCGAGCAGGUGCGAAAGCAGGUCAUAGUGAUCCGGUGGUUCUGAAUGGAAGGGCCAUCGCUCAACGGAUAAAAGGUACUCCGGGGAUAACAGGCUGAUACCGCCCAAGAGUUCAUAUCGACGGCGGUGUUUGGCACCUCGAUGUCGGCUCAUCACAUCCUGGGGCUGAAGUAGGUCCCAAGGGUAUGGCUGUUCGCCAUUUAAAGUGGUACGCGAGCUGGGUUUAGAACGUCGUGAGACAGUUCGGUCCCUAUCUGCCGUGGGCGCUGGAGAAUUGAGGGGGGCUGCUCCUAGUACGAGAGGACCGGAGUGGACGCAUCACUGGUGUUCGGGUUGUCAUGCCAAUGGCACUGCCCGGUAGCUAAAUGCGGAAGAGAUAAGUGCUGAAAGCAUCUAAGCACGAAACUUGCCCCGAGAUGAGUUCUCCCUGACUCCUUGAGAGUCCUGAAGGAACGUUGAAGACGACGACGUUGAUAGGCCGGGUGUGUAAGCGCAGCGAUGCGUUGAGCUAACCGGUACUAAUGAACCGUGAGGCUUAACCUUACAACGCCGAAG